rnacentral:rRNA from 1 species
UACGUAGGGUGCGAGCGUUGUCCGGAAUUAUUGGGCGUAAAGAGCUCGUAGGCGGUUUGUCGCGUCUGCCGUGAAAGUCCGGGGCUCAACUCCGGAUCUGCGGUGGGUACGGGCAGACUAGAGUGAUGUAGGGGAGACUGGAAUUCCUGGUGUAGCGGUGAAAUGCGCAGAUAUCAGGAGGAACACCGAUGGCGAAGGCAGGUCUCUGGGCAUUAACUGACGCUGAGGAGCGAAAGCGUGGGGAGCAAACAGG